rnacentral:rRNA from 1 species
GUGCCAGCAGCCGCGGUAAUACCGGCAGCCCGAGUGAUGGCCGAUCUUAUUGGGCCUAAAGCGUCCGUAGCUGGCCGCGCAAGUCCAUCGGAAAAUCCACCCGCCCAACGGGUGGGCGUCCGGUGGAAACUGCGUGGCUUGGGACCGGAAGGCUCAGAGAGUACGUCCGGGGUAGGAGUGAAAUCCCGUGAUCCUGGACGGACCGCCGGUGGCGAAAGCGCCUCGGAAGAACGGACUCGACAGUGAGGGACGAAAGCUAGGGUCUCGAACCGGAUUAGAAACCCCGAGUCC